UAUCUGCUCCUUCUAUCAUUGGGGUGGUGGUAUCCAUCGAUAAGAAAGGCUCGACGAAGUGAGAAGACGUCGGAUGAAAGGAGAAGGCAGCGGCCCAGAGACGAGGUUCUGUAGGGACGUAGCGAGUUGAUCUUAAUAAAAAAUAUUAUUUCAGAAUCGGGGAAGCGCCCAACGGGAUAGGAGCUGAAGGCUGACACGGUGUUGAUCCAAUAGGGCUUCUUUUUGUUUUAUGCUUUUAAGA
rnacentral:misc_RNA from 1 species